rnacentral:lncRNA from 1 species
CCCCGAGUAAUUUGUGAUGCGUGUGAAUAAAUUCUGGAGAUAAAUAAGUGUUUCGGUGCAAAUUGGGUGCGAAACGAAAUGUAGAGAGAAUUUCGGAUUUCCGAUGCUAACUUUAAUUAAAAGAAUUAAAGUGAGCAAAAUAACAUAAAAUGGUGUGAGAUACCAUUUGAUUGGAUUUAAGGGUGUAAAGUAUAAGUCUGGAAUGGCUCGUGUUGAAAUCGGAGCGAAAACGGAAGAUUUAGAAUUUUCUGUAAAGAAUGAGACUGAGAAAUUAGCAGAAAAUGCACAGUGUCAGAAAAUUAUGAAAAUUGGCGGAGAUGUCAAAAAUGGUUUUUUGAGGCUAGAUUUGAAGUUUCAUAUUAUUCUGACACCUGUAGAGAGAGAAAUAGCAUCCGAAAGUUAUCUGAUAAAGAUUACAGUUCGGGACAGUUCGCAGUGACCAAACGGGGUCGAAACUGNNNN